UGGGGAAUAUUGGACAAUGGGCGCAAGCCUGAUCCAGCCAUGCCGCGUGAGUGAUGAAGGCCCUAGGGUUGUAAAGCUCUUUCACCGGUGAAGAUAAUGACGGUAACCGGAGAAGAAGCCCCGGCUAACUUCGUGCCAGCAGCCGCGGUAAUACGAAGGGGGCUAGCGUUGUUAGGAUUUACUGGGCGUAAAGCGCACGUAGGCGGACUAUUAAGUCAGGGGUGAAAUCCCGGGGCUCAACCCCGGAACUGCCUUUGAUACUGGUAGUCUUGAGUUCGAGAGAGGUGAGUGGAAUUCCGAGUGCAGAGGUGAAAUUCGUAGAUAUUCGGAGGAACACCAGUGGCGAAGGCGGCUCACUGGCUCGAUACUGACGCUGAGGUGCGAAAGCGUGGGGAGCAAACAGG
rnacentral:rRNA from 1 species